AGAGUUUGAUCCUGGCUCAGGAUGAACGCUAGCGGCAGGCCUAAUACAUGCAAGUCGAGGGGCAGCAUAGUAGCAAUACUGAUGGCGACCGGCGCACGGGUGCGUAACACGUAUGCAACCUACCUUUUACAGGGGGAUAGCCCGGAGAAAUCCGGAUUAACACCGCAUAAGAUAUAGAGAGGGCAUCUUUUUUAUAUUAAACAUUUAUGGGUAAAAGAUGGGCAUGCGUCCAAUUAGCUAGUUGGUAGUGUAAUGGACUACCAAGGCGAUGAUUGGUAGGGGUUCUGAGAGGAAGGUCCCCCACACUGGUACUGAGAUACGGACCAGACUCCUACGGGAGGCAGCAGUAGGGAAUAUUGGGCAAUGGGCGAGAGCCUGACCCAGCCAUGCCGCGUGCAGGAAGAAGGCCUUCUGGGUUGUAAACUGCUUUUGAUCGGGAACAAAGAGGCCAUGCGUGGCAAGUUGAGUGUACCGAUAGAAUAAGCACCGGCUAACUCCGUGCCAGCAGCCGCGGUAAUACGGAGGGUGCAAGCGUUGUCCGGAUUUAUUGGGUUUAAAGGGUGCGUAGGCGGCCCUGGAAGUCAGUGGUGAAAUACUGCAGCUUAACUGUAGCAUUGCCAAUGAUACUUUAGGGCUUGAGUACAGAUGAGGUAGGCGGAAUUGAUGGUGUAGCGGUGAAAUGCAUAGAUACCAUCAAGAACACCGAUUGCGAAGGCAGCUUACUAAGCUGUAACUGACGCUGAGGCACGAAAGCGUGGGGAUCGAACAGGAUUAGAUACCCUAGUAGUCC
rnacentral:rRNA from 1 species